CCAGGGGGCCGGACGGCCGCCGGCGGGAGCCUUCGGGCUCUCGCGGGAGGAAAGUCCGAACUCCACCGGACAGGGCGCCGGCUAACAGCCGGGCGGCGCGAGCCGACGGAAAGUGCCACAGAAACAAACCGCCGUGGCCCUCGGGCUGCGGUAAGGGUGAAAUGGUGCGGUAAGAGCGCACCGGCGUCCCGGCAACGGGGCGGCCGUGCAAACCCCGCCCGGAGCAAGGCCAAAUAGGGGAGCGACGGGACGUCCGGGCCCGCUCCCGGGUAGGCCGCUGGAGGCGGCGGGCAACCGCCGUCCUAGAUGGAUGGCCGUCACCGUGCCCACCGCGAGGCGGGCGCGGUACAGAAUUCGGCUUACAGGCCCCCUGGCAAC
rnacentral:RNase_P_RNA from 1 species